rnacentral:lncRNA from 1 species
CUCCUUCUAGAGGGGGCAUGGCCAGCCUCCCCUAACACUAAAUUGUUGCUCCGUCUAGGGGGGGCAUGGCCAAUCUCCCCUGACAUGAAAUUGUUGCUCCGUCUAGGGGGGGCAUGGCCAAUCUCCCCUGACAAGACAUUGUUGCUCCGUCUGGGGGCACGACUUGUCUCAACAUUAUUACUUGUUGCUCGAUAAAGUAGACCACUGCGAUGGGAUCUGCUCUCUGAUACAGUGUUGUUCCUUCUCGUGGGAGAGACUGUGUUAUUGUCUUGG